rnacentral:ncRNA from 1 species
CACUGCCCAUCGCUACUACCGACUGAAUAAAUUAGUGAGGUCGUUGGAUUGGUGUCGUUGUAGUGGCUUCGCCACUCGACUGAUGCUGAGAUGACUUAAUUUGACUAUUUAGGGGAAGUAAAAGUUGUAACAAGGUUUCCGGAGGUGAACCUGCGGAUG